rnacentral:rRNA from 1 species
GACGAACGCUGGCGGCGUGCCUAAUACAUGCAAGUCGAGCGGGCCUCCGGAGGUGCUUGCACCUCCGGAAGGCCAGCGGCGGACGGGUGAGUAACACGUGGGCAACCUGCCUUUGAGGCCGGGAUAACACCGGGAAACCGGUGCUAAUACCGGAUACGUCCUCUUUCGCGCCUGCGAGAGGGGAGAAAGACGGUCUUUAAGGCCGUCGCUCAAAGAGGGGCCCGCGGCGCAUUAGCUGGUUGGUGGGGUAAGGGCCUACCAAGGCGACGAUGCGUUGCCGACCUGAGAGGGUGAUCGGCCACAGUGGGACUGAGACACGGCCCAGGCUCCUGCGGGAGGCAGCAGUAGGGAAUCAUCCGCAAUGGGCGAAAGCCUGACGGUGCAACGCCGCGUGAGUGAGGAAGGUUUUCGGACCGUAAAGCUCUGUUGUGAGGGAAGAACAGCUUCCGGAGGAAAUGCCGGAGGUUUGCCGGUACCUCACCAGAAAGCCCCGGCUAACUACGUGCCAGCCGCCGCAGUAAAAC